rnacentral:rRNA from 1 species
GGAUUUUUAAGUGAGGUGUGAAAGCCCCGGGCUUAACCUGGGAAUUGCAUUUCAGACUGGGAAUCUAGAGUACUUUAGGGAGGGGUAGAAUUCCACGUGUAGCGGUGAAAUGCGUAGAGAUGUGGAGGAAUACCGAAGGCGAAGGCNGCCCCUUGGGAAUGUACUGACGCUCAUGUGCGAAAGCGUGGGGAGCAAACAGGAUUAGAUACCCUGGUAGUCCACGCUGUAAACGCUGUCGAUUUGGGGGUUGGGCUUUAAGCUUGGCGCCCGUAGCUAACGUGAUAAAUCGACCGCCUGGGGAGUACGGCCGCAAGGUUAAAACUCAAAUGAAUUGACGGGGGCCCGCACAAGCGGUGGAGCAUGUGGUUUAAUUCGAUGCAACGCGAAGAACCUUACCUACUCUUGACAUCCAGAGAAGAGACUAGAGAUAGUUUUGUGCCUUAGGGAACUUUGAGACAGGUGCUGCAUGGCUGUCGUCAGCUCGUGUUGUGAAAUGUUGGGUUAAGUCCCGCAACGAGCG